CACUGAAUCAUGGACAUCAUCAAUCUGACGUGUGCAGAGAUUCAGACUCCAGCGGGGUUUGUGUAUGUGAUUCUGUCUGUUAUAAUGAAUCAAACUAAUAAUCCUGACUGUGAGCAGAGCUGGUAUCUACAGGAUGGACUUAAGAUAGCAGAUCCAUCAGAUCCUCAAACACUGAUUGCUCCUGUGAUUUCUGUGUCUUCUGAUCGUCUCGUCACGUCUCGCUGUGUGAAUCUGAUUCAUGAGAUCCGCUGUGAUGCUUCAGGAUCUCAUUCCAGUCGUGAGACCAUGUUCAGAGUGAGGAAUGAAACUGCAGCGACUCCAAACUCAGAUCUCCUGAAUGAAGCGUCUCUCCAGUACUCAGAUCAGCUGUGGUGGCUUCUGGCUGUUUUCAUCAUCAUUUUUCUGGUAUUUCUCUGUUUCUUGCUGCGUAAAAGGAUCUUCAGGACACUGAUGAAGGUCAGAUCUGAUGAUCCUCAUGCAGUGCAGGAAUCUGAGCAGUUCAAAGCUCCUGAGAUUGAGGUCUGA
rnacentral:lncRNA from 1 species